rnacentral:rRNA from 1 species
AUUGAACGCUGGCGGAAUGCCUAACACAUGCAAGUCGAGCGGAGAUGAGGUGCUUGCACCUUAUCUUAGCGGCGGACGGGUGAGUAAUGCUUAGGAAUCUGCCUAUUAGUGGGGGACAACAUUCCGAAAGGAAUGCUAAUACCGCAUACGCCCUACGGGGGAAAGCAGGGGAUCUUCGGACCUUGCGCUAAUAGAUGAGCCUAAGUCGGAUUAGCUAGUUGGUGGGGUAAAGGCCUACCAAGGCGACGAUCUGUAGCGGGUCUGAGAGGAUGAUCCGCCACACUGGGACUGAGACACGGCCCAGACUCCUACGGGAGGCAGCAGUGGGGAAUAUUGGACAAUGGGCGGAAGCCUGAUCCAGCCAUGCCGCGUGUGUGAAGAAGGCCUUUUGGUUGUAAAGCACUUUAAGCGAGGAGGAGGCUACCUGGAUUAAUACUCUAGGAUAGUGGACGUUACUCGCAGAAUAAGCACCGGCUAACUCUGUGCCAGCCGCCGCCGUAACAC